CUGAAGAACCCCGGGCCCCACUCUGCUCCUGAGGAUCUGCCCUUCCCAUCAGAGCACCACCAGGUGUGGACUAUGAAAGCUUUCUGGAAACCCAUAUGAGAGCCCUUUCUCCCUAAGAAUGGAAAAGUGGAAGGUUUACAAAGCCUGAAUCACUCUGUAAAUGUCACGUGCCAGUGGUACCAUCAGAAUAAUGGUCACCGUCGUAUCUCUAGGUACGAAGUGAUCUGCUGGAUGUGGUUGAGAAGUAACUGUAUCAGAGAUUCUCUUCGAAACGAGGUCUUACGGUUGGUCUUCUGAUAAUACCCGUAACAGGAAUGAACAUUGAUAGAAGGCUUACCAUGUUCCUGACACCGUUCUAAGUUCCUUAGAACUUACUCAUUAAAGGUUCACCUCCUUAAGUCCUCUGACUUCCUUCUUAAAGUUUGACAUGACACCUAGCUAAGAUUCAAGGGUCUUUGGGUUCAAAUCCUGACGCUUCCACCUCCUAUUCUUGUAACAUUUCUGAACCUCAACUUCCUCAUCUAUAAAGUGAGCAUACUUUCUUCCCAGAAGUAAAUGAAAUAAUAUAGAUUAGAAGGCACCUGAUACAUAACAAGCUUACAAUGUAUGUUCAUUACCUUGAUAUUUUUUUUAAAUGUUUCUAUUUUCUAAUAAUUUAAGACAGAAGACUAAAUAAAGUGUUUUAAAGAUAUAAA